ensembl:snRNA Gm23796 predicted gene, 23796
AUGUUUACGUGGCAGUGGAAAUACCGUGAUCAUAAAGGUGGAUUUCCCAUGGCAAGGCUUAUCCACUGUACUAUAGUUUGCUCCACUGUACUAUAGUUUGCUUACAUCUGUGAUUCCCCAAAUUCUGGAAAACCAACUGGAUAACUUUUGGUAGCAGGGAACUGUGUUCACAUUUUCUCA